rnacentral:rRNA from 1 species
AUUGAACGCUGGCGGCAUGCCUUACACAUGCAAGUCGAACGGUAACGGGCCUUCGGGUGCCGACGAGUGGCGAACGGGUGAGUAAUAUAUCGGAACGUACCUUUCAGUGGGGGAUAACGUAGCGAAAGUUACGCUAAUACCGCAUAUUCUGUGAGCAGGAAAGCAGGGGACCUUCGGGCCUUGCGCUGAUUGAGCGGCCGAUAUCAGAUUAGCUAGUUGGUGAGGUAAAGGCUCACCAAGGCUACGAUCUGUAGCGGGUCUGAGAGGAUGAUCCGCCACACUAGAACUGAGACACGGUCCAGACUCCUACGGGAGGCAGCAGUGGGGAAUUUUGGACAAUGGGGGCAACCCUGAUCCAGCCAUGCCGCGUGAGUGAAGAAGGCCUUCGGGUUGUAAAGCUCUUUCGGCCGGGAAAAAAUCGCAUCAGCUAAUACCUGGUGUGGAUGAUGGUACCGGAAUAAGAAGCACCGGCUAACUACGUGCCAGCCGCCGCCGUAAGAC